UACGUAGGGGGCAAGCGUUGUCCGGAUUCAUUGGGCGUAAAGAGCGUGUAGGCGGCCAGGUAGGUCGGUUGUGAAAACUGGAGGCUCAACCUUCAGAGGUCGACCGAAACCAUCUGGCUAGAGUCCGGGAGAGGAGAGUGGAAUUCCUGGUGUAGCGGUGGAAUGCGUAGAGAUCCGGAAGAACACCGGUGGCGAAGGCGGUGAGCUGAGCAGUUGCUGACACUGAGGCGCGACAGCGUGGGGAGCAAACAGG
rnacentral:rRNA from 1 species